rnacentral:rRNA from 1 species
UGGGGAAUAUUGCACAAUGGGCGCAAGCCUGAUGCAGCAACGCCGCGUGAACGAUGAAGGUCUUCGGAUCGUAAAGUUCUGUUGCAGGGGAAGAUAAUGACGGUACCCUGUGAGGAAGCCCCGGCUAACUACGUGCCAGCAGCCGCGGUAAUACGUAGGGGGCUAGCGUUAUCCGGAUUUACUGGGCGUAAAGGGUGCGUAGGUGGUCUUUCAAGUCGGUGGUUAAAGGCUACGGCUCAACCGUAGUUAGCCUCCGAAACUGGAAGACUUGAGUGCAGGAGAGGAAAGUGGAAUUCCCAGUGGAGCGGUGAAAUGCGUAGAUAUUGGGAGGAACACCAGUGGCGAAGGCGGCUGUCUGGACUGCAACUGACACUGAGGCACGAAAGCGUGGGUAGCAAACAGG